GCCCAGCCAGCCUCUGCUCCCUCUUCAAAGCUUCCAACACCUGUGAGGAGAGAGGCAGGAUCCAUGCCCAGCAGAAAUGGGUUCCAUCCAAGUGGGAUUAUCCAGUGUUUGUGGCCCAGCUGCUAACCAGGCAUUGUGUGUGUCCCGCUUGAAAACCACAUCCGAGCCUGUUGUGAUGUACCAGCAAUCAAGUUGCAUAUUUGGCAGGCUGGCCAGUGCCUAG
rnacentral:lncRNA from 1 species